rnacentral:lncRNA from 1 species
UUUCUCGUGAUUCUCCAUGGUCAUUAAGAACUUCGGCCACAACCAUUAAAGAAAUCUGACCUUGUAUGAGGGAAAUCUACUUCAGAAAAACAAUGUUUAAACCAAUCCAAACUGCCAAUAUCAGUUAAAGUUUGGUUUGUGUGAUUGACCAGCUGUCUUAGAUUUGGAAUAUUAUCAAACCGCUGGAUUCAAUAUAGUUACACGCAUCAAAAUAUAGAGGUUGAAAUUAUAGUUCAACGAGUACCUCUUGAGACUAUAAUAUACAAUUGUAUGGUUGUACGAAUUGCAUAAAGUCCUACGGAAUCAAUCAAGUCUAGGCCAAACGCUAUACAAAUUGUAGCUAUGACUCUUGAAAAUUCCAACAUGAAAAUAGGUAAAUGUCAAGGGAAUAGACAAAGGAAAGGGAAUUCAUACAAAAGAAAGUUGAGUAAUGAUUUGAGAACAAUAUUUAUCAUUCAAAGUUAAUGACCUUUCACGUAAGAUUUUUAUUGAUCAUGUCAGCUGCUCCUUUAACAGAAUCCAUCUAAAUGACGGACGAGCAUCAUGUUUGGUAGUCGAGUGACCAUGAAGAAAACUUUGAAGUUCAAUGACCGAGUGUAGUAACGCAACGCAAGAAAAGCUCACCUCAUGAGCAAUGCUUUGUGCUGCAAAUCUAAAUUUUGCAUGAAACUUUUGUAGCGGAAGGUUUGAUCACCAAUGGUGUUUUCCGGGCUCAGUAUGAAAUCCAACAAUCAAACACCUCAAGAAACCAACCAACCCAAAUCCAAUCAACUAUCCCCAGCUUCAGCUGCUUUAAUGUUACCCACUCAUGACACACAAUACGGGAGUUAUUGCAGUCGUGAAGGCAGCCACAAAGGCAGAGAAAGAAGAUGAAGAAGUGGUAAAGAGAGCACAAAGCCAACCGCCGAUUUCAUCGAAGGAAAAGGAAACGGUCACACAAAAGCAAAGGUGGCAAUUAUAUGUAAGUUUGCAUUAGGUACAGUAUUUGGCCAAGCCCAAUAACAUAGGUAAGUCGACCAAGUAUAUCACUAAGUGAACUGACACUUAUAAGCCGUCCAAGAAGUCGGGGAACCGGCAAUAAGCAGCAUUAAUUAAGUUAGGCUAUUUCCAAUGGCCCAAAUAGUUUUAGAGUCGGAUCUUUUCACUGAGGUGUCGACUUUUAGUUCAGUCAUUUACA